rnacentral:lncRNA from 1 species
UGCUACAGUUAAUUAACAUGAUACAAAAGAAGGUAUAAAGCUUGAAGCUCACUAGCGAAGCGAACAUGAUGGCAUAGGUUUGUUGCAAACUGCAAGGACGCCUUCGAGGAAUUCAGAUCGCAAAUUCUCAUCUUAUUUAAAAUCGUGGAUUGCCGAAACCAUAACAUAUUCUCGUCUAAUUCAAUAUGCAGAACGUCCCAAAAUCGUAUCAUAGACUAGCGGUUGCCUUUGUGCCACCCAAGGCCAAGAAGGUAAAACUAAGACGAUGCACGGACUCGUGCGUGACUGCACUGCACGGCAUGCCACACAAAAAUACUCGGUGCUAGUACUACUAGUCCCCGGACCUUGGGGCACCGGACCACCUGAUCGACCUGAAGCGCUAGAACCUGACGCACCACCUCGCUAGCGUCACCCAGCGUGUCUAGCGCCGAGACGAGCCGCGCGCGAUCGCGCCCGCCCUCACCUCGUCCCUUCCUCUACGCCGGGUUGGACUUGACUCUGAGCUCCGCACGCCCUUGACACCGAGUGCGAUGAGCACGGGGAUGGCGAACGGGCUAGGCGCCUAAGGCCACACGCCCAGCACCGUCACCUCGUCGUCUUCCAGUUCCUCGGCUGCUGCCAUCGAGUUUGCACCGUGACUAGGCACUGGAGUGGAGCUCAGGGUCUGGUCGACCUGUUCGGUGUAGUAUGUGACGUGCCCACCGUUCACUGCUGAAUGAUCUGCGGUUUGAGUGUGACGGGGAUUAUUUAGGCGUGACUAAGUGUGGACUAGGUACUUGGCAAUCGGGACUCGGGAGAACCUGAUCUAGUGAUCUGCUCGCACGGCGUGCCCGGACGGGGACAAACUGCUCAGGGCUUCCUUGUCAAGGCUUUGGAAAUUCGGCGCCACGGCGCACACGUUUCAAUGCUCCAGGCGUACCGGUUGCGCCAGCACUUCCGUCACUAAAGGUUCCAAACCCACA